rnacentral:rRNA from 1 species
AUUGAACGCUGGCGGCAUGCCUAACACAUGCAAGUCGAACGGCAGCACGGGUGCUUGCACCUGGUGGCGAGUGGCGACCGGGUGAGUAAUACAUCGGAACAGGUCCUGUCGUGGGGGAUAGCCCUGCUAAAGCCGGAUUACUACCGCAUACGAUCUACGGAUGAAAGCGGGGGCCCUUCGGGCCUCGCGCUAUAGGGUUGGCCGAUGGCUGAUUAGCUAGUUGGUGGGGUACAGGCCUACCAAGGCGACGAUCCGUAUCUGGUCUGAGAGGGAGACCAGCUACACGGGGACAGAGACACGGCCCAGACUCCUACGGGAGGAAGCAGUGGGGAAUUUUGGACAAUGGGGGAAAGCCUGAUCCAGCAAUGCCGCGUGUGGGAAGAAGGACUUCGGGUUGGAGAGCACUUUUGUUCGGAAGGAAAUCCUUGGCCCUAAUACGGGCGGGGGAUGACGGUACCGGAAGAAUAAGCCCCGGCUAACUACGUG